CCCAGACUCCUACGGGAGGCAGCAGUGGGGGAUAUUGCACAAUGGGGGGAACCCUGAUGCAGCGACGCCGCGUGGGUGAAGGAGCGUUUCGGCGCGUAAAGCCCUAUCGGCAGGGAAGAAGGAGGACGGUACCUGACUAAGAAGCCCCGGCUAACUACGUGCCAGCAGCCGCGGUAAUACGUAGGGGGCAAGCGUUAUCCGGAUUUACUGGGUGUAAAGGGGGCGCAGACGGCAGCGCAAGCCAGGAGUGAAAGCCCGGGGCCCAACCCCGGGACUGCUCUUGGAACUGCGCGGCUGGAGUGCAGGAGGGGCAGGCGGAAUUCCUGGUGUAGCGGUGAAAUGCGUAGAUAUCAGGAGGAACACCGGUGGCGAAGGCGGCCUGCUGGACUGCGACUGACGUUGAGGCCCGAAAGCGUGGGGAGCAAACAGGAUUAGAUACCCGGGUAUCC
rnacentral:rRNA from 1 species